AAAAGCAGUGACCAGAAUCCUAUCCACCCCUUCUCCCCAGGGCUGAGAACUGCAGGACUCCAUGGCAGGUCCAACAGCUUCCAGUGGGCCUGAGCCCCAAGAGCAGACACCACCCCAAGGCUGUCUCCCUAUGAGUGCACACUGCUGGCCUCACGCCUGCCCUGGCAACAAUGCUACCUGAGCAGCAGACACGGUUAAACAAAAAGACCAAGCCUCGAGUCAGGUGACCUGAACUCAGAUUCUGUCUGUCCAAGUGUCUCCAAGGACCUCUCCCCUGCCUGGGGCUUCGAGAAGAGGACCACCACCAGCCCUCAGUGCUGAGGUACUGCUGCACUCACUUCCACUCAGUGCCACCUCCCCUCCCCAGGAGCCACACCAGGGAACUCAUGGGGAACAGGGUGCUCAGGGGCUUGGGAAGGAUCAGAAGCCCAUGCUUGCUGCGGUCUGCACUUUCAACAGGACGAGACCUCCAGCCAGAUUCAACACUCAUGUGAGAUAGUCUGGGGAGAUGCGCCUGUGCCAGAGACCCCAGGAGCAUCAGCGAGAAGCACAAGGUGGACAGAAAAGGAAGACACUUUUUCAUGUAUUUUUCCUAAUGAUCUAAGAUCAAAGGAUCUCAACUUUAUUAGUGAUUCCCCUCCACACUCUUUAAAAACCUUAUGCAUAUAAAGUAGUUCUUUAAAGACUGAGAUCAAGAAAUUAUUGAUAAAACAAAAUAUAGAUAAGAAAUAAUGACUUGAACAAACAAGGCAUAUUUCUGAUUUGGAAACAUAAAUACUAUAAAUAUGCUAAUGUCAAUUUUUUCCUAAAAUGGCAGAUUAAUGGCAUUUAAUGGUAGUUUAUCCUGAGUUGCUGGGAUUACGGGUAUACAACAUUUGUACCUGACUGCAACUUCAGAUAAUGAUUUCAGAAAAUAUUUGGAAAUAUGUUUCAAGAUUUUUUUUGUUUAAGUAGUAAACUUUUGUUUUACUUCUUGGAAUUCAUUCUAGAAAUGUAAUAACCAUGAAUGAGUACCACAUUUUAAAAAAAUGUAUAUUUAAAAAAUGUAGUAUUUUUUAAAAAAAUACCUAUUUUUGAAAUUAUGCUAAAAUAAAGCACAUGAUAUAAAAUUUACCAUCCAAACUGCUUUUUAGGAGUACAGUUCAGUGGCAUUAAUUACAUUCAUGUCCUUGUUUCAAUUCUUUUGGGGACACAGCUAGGAGGAACUGUUGGAUCACAUGGUAUACCCUUUUUUUUAUUUCUGAAGAACUGUCAUGCUGUUAUCCCAGUGGCUGUCCACUGCACACCCCACACCAGUGCAUACCCAAGAACACAUCCGGGCCCCUGCACAUCCUCAGAGCACUCACGCCUUUGCACAGUACCCUCUCCUCGGGGUGCGCACUGAGCUGCAGUCCCGAACUACAAGUCAUGCUGAGCUCCUCUGCACAGGCAAGCUGACCAUUUGUGUAUUUCUCUAGAGAAAUGUUU
rnacentral:lncRNA from 1 species